GAUGAACGCUGGCGGCGUGCCUAAUACAUGCAAGUCGAGCGAAUGGAUUGAGAGCUUGCUCUUAUGAAGUUAGCGGCGGACGGGUGAGUAACACGUGGGUAACCUGCCCAUAAGACUGGGAUAACUCCGGGAAACCGGGGCUAAUACCGGAUAACAUUUUGAACCGCAUGGUUGGAAAUUGAAAGGCGGCUUCGGCUGUCACUUAUGGAUGGACCCGCGUCGCAUUAGCUAGUUGGUGAGGUAACGGCUCACCAAGGCAACGAUGCGUAGCCGACCUGAGAGGGUGAUCGGCCACACUGGGACUGAGACACGGUCCAGACUCCUACGGGAGGCAGCAGUAGGGAAUCUUCCGCAAUGGACGAAAGUCUGACGGAGCAACGCCGCGUGAGUGAUGAAGGCUUUCGGGUCGUAAAACUCUGUUGUUAGGGAAGAACAAGUGCUAGUUGAAUAAGCUGGCACCUUGACGGUACCUAACCAGAAAGCCACGGCUAACUACGUGCCAGCCGCCGCUGUAA
rnacentral:rRNA from 1 species